rnacentral:rRNA from 1 species
AGAGUUUGAUCCUGGCUCAGAUUGAACGCUGGCGGAAUGCUUUACACAUGCAAGUCGAACGGCAGCACGGGAGCUUGCUCCUGGUGGCGAGUGGCGAACGGGUGAGUAAUGCGUCGGAACGUACCGAGUAAUGGGGGAUAACGCACCGAAAGGUGUGCUAAUACCGCAUACGCCCUCCGGGGGAAAGCAGGGGAUCGUAAGACCUUGCGUUAUUCGAGCGGCCGACGUCUGAUUAGCUAGUUGGUGAGGUAAUGGCUCACCAAGGCGACGAUCAGUAGCGGGUCUGAGAGGAUGAUCCGCCACACUGGAACUGAGACACGGUCCAGACUCCUACGGGAGGCAGCAGUGGGGAAUUUUGGACAAUGGGGGCAACCCUGAUCCAGCCAUUCCGCGUGAGUGAAGAAGGCCUUCGGGUUGUAAAGCUCUUUCAGCUGGAACGAAACGGUACGCUCUAACAUAGUGUGCUAAUGACGGUACCAGCAGAAGAAGCACCGGCUAACUACGUGCCAGCAGCCGCGGUAAUACGUAGGGUGCGAGCGUUAAUCGGAAUUACUGGGCGUAAAGCGUGCGCAGGCGGAUUGUUAAGCAAGACGUGAAAUCCCCGGGCUUAACCUGGGAAUGGCGUUUUGAACUGGCAGUCUAGAGUGUGUCAGAGGGGGGUAGAAUUCCGCGUGUAGCAGUGAAAUGCGUAGAUAUGCGGAGGAACACCGAUGGCGAAGGCAAUCCCCUGGACCUGUACUGACGCUCAUGCACGAAAGCGUGGGGAGCAAACAGGAUUAGAUACCCUGGUAGUCC